UUGGGCCCUAGUCCGAUGCACGGUAACAUAACAAGUUUAACUUCAGUAGCAGUAGUACUAUAUAUCAAUGUUUUAAAAACCGAACCUGUUGCGAAUUCGAUGAAAAAUCACACCAAUAACAAACUUGAUGUGGGGAGCAAGGGAUAGUCAAGCAACCAAAACAAAGUAUAUGGAACAAUUAUAAACACAAGCCAAAAGUAGAAAGCAACAGCGAGAGAAAAAGAAGAGAGAACACAAAAGAAUUUGUUGACCCAGUUCGGUCCAAAUUGACCUAGUCUGGGGGAGAGAGCAGCCCUCUGUUCCACUAUAUGAUGAGUAACGUUACAAAAGAGAUAUCAAUGGGUUACAAGAAUAAGUCUCCCGCCUAAUUCUACCCAAAGUCUCAGCCUCUUCCCGUAAUCAAGAGACUCAAUCCUAAUAGUGUUUUCCAAGGUGAAUCAACCCUCAAACCCUAGUGUUUGUUCCAAAGAGACAAACUCUAUACAAACUCUAGUUUUGUUGUUGUCAUUCUAAACCCUUGUUUCAGCCCCCUCUAUCUCAAAGUUUACUCUGAUACAAGGUCUAUAUUUAUAGUAAAAGUAUCGCUUAAAAUUUGAAACAAAUCUGCACUCAAAAUACGUUUCUGUUAUUUGCUGCCGGCGCACCAUCGUGCCACGAUUUUUCCAGUUCCUUGCCUCAAAACUGAAACCUCCAAUCGUGUCACGUUGCCCAACCAUCGUGCCACGAUUCUGUAGAAACUCUCACAAUUCUCUACCUUGACUUCAAAUCAGUGAAGAUGCCAAUCAUCAACCUCCUUGCUGCUCUUUCCCUUGCUUCCCACUACACCAAGUAGCUCCACAAGUUUACACCCUAUCCUCUUCAACCAUCGGAAUGCCUUCCGCCCUUUUGAAGAUCCUUGUGUCCAAACUACUCAAGGUAUUUUAGGUAGUUCCACAAGUGCACACCUUAACCCCUUCUGCCCUCGGAAUGUCUUCCGCCUUCUCGAAUGUCCUUGCAGUCCAACUACACUAGGAAUUUUAGGUAGUUCCACAAGCAUUCACCAUAACAUCUUCAACGCAGGACAUCUCCCGCUUCCUUGAAGGUUUCCUUGCAUCCAAUCACCCUUGGCCUUUUUUUAGGGUAAUCCCGCAAGCCGUGCUAUACAUUCUUCAACCUCCGGAAUGCCUUCCGUCUUCAUGAAGAAAUCCCUUGCUCACCAUAGAGCAUAGCACCCAAGGUCCUCCAUAGUCGUACCAUUACCGGUGUGUUCAACUCCACCUCACGCUGAGCGUAUUCUACCUCAACUAGCAAAUGUGUACAUCCCACUAUGUCUUCAACCUUGAAACUCCACCUCAACAGGUAGAUCAUGAGUAUUGUUGCCUCCGCCUCUCCAGACUGAUGUUGAGUGUUUAACGUCUCUCCAGACGACCACCACUCCACUAGGCAUCACUCCCAAGGUGAGACACAUCACCUUCUUCAUCCUCCAAACAACACCACACCAUUAGAGCACCCGCAUCCUCAAGAUGCAACUUAAUGUUCUCAAAAUCACCAAUGAUUUUGUUGAACUCCACAAGUAGCUCCACGACGACCUUUGACUUUACCAUCUUGAAUGAGUAAAGUUGUUGCUUUAGGACUUGCCGAUGAGCCAAAGACUUUGUCAUAUACAAAUAUUCGAACUUUGACCACAUUGAUGUCGCGGUUGUUUCCUUUGUUGCUUCUCUCAAAUCUUUAUUCCCGAGGCACAAGACAAUGGCACUCCUGGCCUUGUCCACCAUCUCGGUCUUCUCCGCUCGUGACAUGGUGACCGGUAACGAACUUUCACCCUUCAAAGUUUUCUCACACUUUUGCUGUAUUAACACCGCUUCCAUCUUUACCUUCCAUAACCUAAAAUCGUUAUCUCCGGUAAACUUCUCAAUAUCCCACUUUGAACCCAUGGUACUUGAUUAUCCUUUGACCCUUGCCCCACGGUGGGCGCCAAUUGUUGUGAAUUCGAUGAAAAAUCACACCAAUAACAAACUUGAUGUGUGGAGCAAGGGAUAAUCAAGCAACCAAAACAAAGUGUAUGGAACAAUUAUAAACACAAGCCAAAAGUAGAAAGCAACAGCGAGAGAAAAAGAAGAUAGAACACAAAAGAAUUUGUUGACCUAGUUCGGUUCAAAUUGACCUAGUCUGGGGGAGAGAGAAACCCUCCGUUCCACUAUAUGAUGAGUAACAUUACAAAAGAGAUAUCAAUGGGUUACAAGAAUAAGUCUCCCGCCUAAUUCUACCCAAAGUCCCAGCCUCUUCCCGUAACCAAGAGACUCAAUCCUAAUAGUGUUUCCCAAGGUGAAUCAACCCUCAAACCCUAAUGUUUGUUCCAAAGAGACAAACUCUAUACAAACCCUAGUUUUGUUGUUGCCAUUCUAAACCCUUGUUUCAGCCCCCUCUAUCUCAAAGUUUACUCUGAUACAAGGUCUAUAUUUAUAGUAAAAGUAUCGCUUAAAAUUUGGAACAAAUCUGCACUCAAAAUACGUUUUUGUUAUUCGCUGCCAGCGCACCAUCGUGCCACGAUGCGACCCCAUCGAGCCACGAUUUUUCCAGUGCCUUUCCUCAAAACUGAAACCUCCAAUCGUGCCACGUUGCCCAGCCAUCGUACCACGAUUCUAUAGAAAUUUGAUUUUAAGUUAACUCUCAUAGAACCAAACCAGACAUUCAACUUGUUGAACCAUGAACUACACCAUGUAUGGUUAGGGCCUUAGGAUAUUUGAUUUGUUCGAUUGUGGUUUUGUCCUGAUUCGAGCAGUUUAAAACAGCUGAACCAUGAUCUGGAGAUCUCGUUUGUUCGGUGCCUGGUUUGGCUAUUAGAAUAUCGU
rnacentral:lncRNA from 1 species